GAAAAUUAGCUAUUUUAGUAUUUAUCUAGCAGGUUUCCUCAAGGAGAAAGCCUCC
ensembl:snRNA U7 U7 small nuclear RNA